ensembl:snRNA U6 U6 spliceosomal RNA
GUAUUCACUUCUGCAGCACAUACAUAUACCAAAGUUGGAAUGAUACAGAGAAGAUUAGCAUGGUGUUUAUGCAAGGAUAACAUGCAAAUUCGUGAAACAGCCCAUAUUUAA